rnacentral:rRNA from 1 species
UGAGUAAUGUCUGGGAAACUGCCUGAUGGGGGGGGAUAACUACUGGAAACGGUAGCUAAUACCGCAUAACGUCUUCGGACCAAAGUGGGGGACCUUCGGGCCUCAUGCCAUCAGAUGUGCCCAGAUGGGAUUAGCUAGUAGGUGGGGUAACGGCUCACCUAGGCGACGAUCCCUAGCUGGUCUGAGAGGAUGACCAGCCACACUGGAACUGAGACACGGUCCAGACUCCUACGGGAGGCAGCAGUGGGGAAUAUUGCACAAUGGGCGCAAGCCUGAUGCAGCCAUGCCGCGUGUAUGAAGAAGGCCUUCGGGUUGUAAAGUACUUUCAGCGAGGAGGAAGGCGUUAAGGUUAAUAACCUUAGCGAUUGACGUUACUCGCAGAAGAAGCACCGGCUAACUCCGUGCCAGCAGCCGCGGUAAUACGGAGGGUGCAAGCGUUAAUCGGAAUUACUGGGCGUAAAGCGCACGCAGGCGGUCUGUCAAGUCGGAUGUGAAAUCCCCGGG